rnacentral:rRNA from 1 species
CCUACGGGAGGCAGCAGUAGGGAAUAUUGGGCAAUGGAGGCAACUCUGACCCAGCCAUGCCGCGUGCAGGAAGAAGGCGUUAUGCGUUGUAAACUGCUUUUAUAUAGGAAGAAAUAGACCUUGCGAGGUAAGUUGACGGUACUAUAUGAAUAAGCACCGGCUAACUCCGUGCCAGCAGCCGCGGUAAUACGGAGGGUGCAAGCGUUGUCCGGAUUUAUUGGGUUUAAAGGGUGCGUAGGCGGUUUAUUAAGUCAGUGGUGAAAGACGGUCGCUCAACGAUUGCAGUGCCAUUGAUACUGGUAGACUUGAGUGGGAUUGAGGUAGCUGGAAUGGAUAGUGUAGCGGUGAAAUGCAUAGAUAUUAUCCAGAACACCAAUUGCGUAGGCAAGUUACUAAGUCUCAACUGACGCUGAGGCACGAAAGUGUGGGUAUCAAACAGGAUUAGAUACCCUGGUAGUCCACACUGUAAACGAUGAUAACUAACUGUUGGCUUUCGGGUCAGUGGUACAGAGAAAUCGUUAAGUUAUCCACCUGGGGAGUACGCCGGCAACGGUGAAACGUCGAAAGGAAUUGACGG